GGUGAUCUAUCCGAUCAGUGCACAGAUCACUUUUCUUCUGGAUGGACGAGACUUGAGUCCACAGUGUAGAGACACUGAAGUGAUAGUGCAGGUGCUUGUUAGAGAACAAGGGUACUGAGCGUGACCAAGACAAGAAGUCACUUAGAUGUCUAUCCACUCGUCAGUGACUUGCUUGAUGUUGCAGUAGUGUGACUGGUCCUUUGACCUGCGGUGCUUCGGCUACUCAUAGUGAGGUUAUUGUAGUUUGACUGCACACAUACAUGGUCUCUAGACAUAUGGGUCCAUGCAGUGUAGAUUGGCUGCAGUAAGUUCACUGUAGGAGUAGGGUAUACACCUAUAAGGAAUCU
rnacentral:lncRNA from 1 species